GAGUGCUUGCACUCUGUGAAACAAGAUACAGGCUAGCGGCGGACGGGUGAGUAACACGUGGGUAACCUGCCCAAAAGAUCGGGAUAACACCUGGAAACAGAUGCUAAUACCGGAUAACAACAGAUGAUGCCUAUCAACUGUUUAAAAGAUGGUUCUGCUAUCACUCUUGGAUGGACCUGCGGUGCAUUAGCUAGUUGGUAGGGUAACGGCCUACCAAGGCGAUGAUGCAUAGCCGAGUUGAGAGACUGAUCGGCCACAUUGGGACUGAGACACGGCCCAAACUCCUACGGGAGGCAGCAGUAGGGAAUCUUCCACAAUGGACGCAAGUCUGAUGGAGCAACGCCGCGUGAGUGAAGAAGGGUUUCGGCUCGUAAAGCUCUGUUGUUGGUGAAAAAGGACAGGGGUAGUAACUGACCUUUGUUUGACGGUAAUCAAUUAGAAAGUCACGGCUAACUACGUGCCAGCAGCCGCGGUAAUACGUAGGUGGCAAGCGUUGUCCGGAUUUAUUGGGCGUAAAGCGAGUGCAGGCGGCUCGAUAAGUCUGAUGUGAAAGCCUUCGGCUCAACCGGAGAAUUGCAUCAGAAACUGUCGAGCUUGAGUAC
rnacentral:rRNA from 1 species